CAGGUAGAGCUCGGCGUUCAUCCGCUGCUGGGCGGCCAGGCCCUGCGUCCUCCAGCAAACAGGACCAAAUUAGAACCGAGGAGAUUGCAGUGGAGAUUGGCAAGCAAUGUCACUUGGGGGCACCAGGGGCCUUCCUCCUUCAGAUCAGCCCGAUGUUUGGCUGUCAUGUGGUCCUCACCUGCGUGUACGUUACGGGAGCCUGGUUGACGGCCUUCAGCCUCCUGGUGCACUCUUUGUCCUUCCUGAGGUCAGUCUUGCAGCCAAUCAGGAUGACCGGGACUUCUUGACAGAAGUGCUUCACCUCCGGGUGC